rnacentral:rRNA from 1 species
UACGAAGGGGGCUAGCGUUGCUCGGAAUGACUGGGCGCAAAGGGCGCGUAGGCGGUUCGUACAGUCAGACGUGAAAUUCCUGGGCUCAACCUGGGGGCUGCGUUUGAUACGUGCGGACUUGAGUGCGGAAGAGGGUCGUGGAAUUCCCAGUGUAGAGGUGAAAUUCGUAGAUAUUCGGAAGAACACCAGUGGCGAAGGCGGCUCACUGGACUGGUAUUGACGCUGAGGCGCGAAAGCGUGGGGAGCAAACAGGG